rnacentral:rRNA from 1 species
AACCUUACCUACCCUUGACAUCCAGAGAAUCCUGCAGAGAUGCGGGAGUGCCGAAAGGAACUCUGAGACAGGUGCUGCAUGG